rnacentral:rRNA from 1 species
UCGGCAGCUAACCAUGCAGUCCGAGCGGAACGAGUUUCUGAACCUUCCGGGGAACGAUAACGGCGUCGAGCGGCGGACGGGUGAGUAAUGCCUAGGAAAUUCGCCCUGAUGUGGGGGAUAACCAUUGGAAACGAUGGCUAAUACCGCAUGAUGCCUACGGGCCAAAGAGGGGGACCUUCGGGCCUCUCGCGUCAGGAUAUGCCUAGGUGGGAUUAGCUAGUUGGUGAGGUAAGGGCUCACCAAGGCGACGAUCCCUAGCUGGUCUGAGAGGAUGAUCAGCCACACUGGAACUGAGACACGGUCCAGACUCCUACGGGAGGCAGCAGUGGGGAAUAUUGCACAAUGGGCGCAAGCCUGAUGCAGCCAUGCCGCGUGUGUGAAGAAGGCCUUCGGGUUGUAAAGCACUUUCAGUCGUGAGGAAGGUAGUGUAGUUAAUAGCUGCAUUAAUUGACGAUAGCAACAGAAGAAGAACCGGCUAACUUCUCGUGACAUCCAGCAGAACUUUCGCAGUAGAUACGGAGUGGUGCGAGCGUUAAUCGGGAACUACUGAGCGUAAAGCUGCAUGCAUGGCUGGUCUGUCAAGCUCAUGAUGUGAAAUGCCCGGGGCUCAAGUCCUCGCAACGAGCGCAACCCUUGAAACUUGUUUGCCAGACUAGAGUAAUGUAGAGGAACUCCAGGGUAGAAUGCCAGUGAUAAACCGGAGAAAUGCGUAGGGACGAUCGUCAAGACAUCACGGCCCUGACGAAGCAGGCGCCUACACACGAUACUGACAAUCGAUGCGCAUAGCAGAGGGCGAGCAAACAUGCGAAAGUGAGCGAAUACCCAAAAAGUCACGUCGUAAUCCAUGACUACUGGAGUCUGGCAACUCGACCUGGCCAUCCGAACUAGGAACCGCUAGUAAUCAGCCUGGAGUACAGUAAUGCCACGGUGAAUACGUUCCCGGGCCUUGUACACACCGCCCGUCACACCAUGGGAGUGGGCUGCAAAAGAAGUAGGUAGUUUAACCUUCGGGGGGACGCUUACCACUUUGGGUGCUUAG